rnacentral:rRNA from 1 species
GGGGCCCGCACAAGCGGCGGAGCAUGCGGAUUAAUUCGAUGCAACGCGAAGAACCUUACCAAGGCUUGACAUGUGCCGGUCUGCUCCGGAGACGGGGUUUCCUCCCUUGUGGGGGCUGGUUCACAGGUGGUGCAUGGUUGUCGUCAGCUCGUGUCGUGAGAUGUUGGGUUAAGUCCCGCAACGAGCGCAACCCUUGUCUCGUGUUGCCAGCACGUUGUGGUGGGGACUCGCGGGAGACUGCCGGGGUCAACUCGGAGGAAGGUGGGGAUGACGUCAAAUCAUCAUGCCCCUUAUGUCUUGGGCUUCACGCAUGCUACAAUGGCCGGUACAGAGGGCUGCGAUACCGUGAGGUGGAGCGAAUCCCUUAAAGCCGGUCUCAGUUCGGAUCGGUGUCUGCAACUCGACACCGUGAAGUUGGAGUCGCUAGUAAUCGCAGAUCAGCAACGCUGCGGUGAAUACGUUCUCGGGCCUUGUACACACCGCCCGUCACGUCAUGAAAGUCGGCAACACCCGAAGCCCGUGGCCCCGG